GACGAACGCUAGCGGCAGGCCUAAUACAUGCAAGUCGAACGGUGUAGCAAUACACAGUGGCGCACGGGUGCGUAACACGUAUGCAACCUACCUUACAUUGGGGGAUAGCCUUUCGAAAGGGAGAUUAAUACCGCAUAAGACAGUAACUAGGCAUCUAGUAGCUGUUAAAGAUUUAUCGAUGUAAGCUGGGCAUGCGUCCAAUUAGUUAGUUGACGAGGUAAUGGCUCACCAAGACGAUGAUUGGUAGGGGAACUGAGAGGUCAAUCCCCCACACUGGCACUGAGAUACGGGCCAGACUCCUACGGGAGGCAGCAGUAGGGAAUAUUGGGCAAUGGGCGCAAGCCUGACCCAGCCAUGCCGCGUGCAGGAAGAAGGCGUUAUGCGUUGUAAACUGCUUUUAUACAGGAAGAAACGACCCUUGCGAGGGGCAUUGACGGUACUGUAUGAAUAAGCACCGGCUAACUCCGUGCCAGCCGCCGCCGUAACAC
rnacentral:rRNA from 1 species